GAUGAACGCUGGCGGCGUGCCUAAUACAUGCAAGUCGAGCGAAUGGAUUAAGAGCUUGCUCUUAUGAAGUUAGCGGCGGACGGGUGAGUAACACGUGGGUAACCUGCCCAUAAGACUGGGAUAACUCCGGGAAACCGGGGCUAAUACCGGAUAACAUUUUGAACUGCAUGGUUCGAAAUUGAAAGGCGGCUUCGGCUGUUACUUAUGGAUGGACCCGCGUCGCAUUAGCUAGUUGGUGAGGUAACGGCUCACCAAGGCAACGAUGCGUAGCCGACCUGAGAGGGUGAUCGGCCACACUGGGACUGAGACACGGCCCAGACUCCUACGGGAGGCAGCAGUAGGGAAUCUUCCGCAAUGGACGAAAGUCUGACGGAGCAACGCCGCGUGAGUGAUGAAGGCUUUCGGGUCGUAAAACUCUGUUGUUAGGGAAGAACAAGUGCUAGUUGAAUAAGCUGGCACCUUGACGGUACCUAACCAGAAAGCCACGGCUAACUACGUGCCAGCAGCCGCCGUAAAAC
rnacentral:rRNA from 1 species